AGAGUUUGAUCCUGGCUCAGGACGAACGCUGGCGGCGCGCCUAACACAUGCAAGUCGAACGGAGCUAUGUUGAAAGCUUGCUGGAUAUAUAGCUUAGUGGCGGACGGGUGAGUAACACGUGAGCAACCUGCCUUUCAGAGUGGAAUAACGUUUGGAAACGAACGCUAAUACCGCAUAAUGUCAGAGGAUGGCAUCAUUCUUUGACCAAAGAUUUAUCGCUGAAAGAUGGGCUCGCGGCCGAUUAGGUAGUUGGUGAGAUAAUAGCCCACCAAGCCGACGAUCGGUAGCCGGACUGAGAGGUUGAACGGCCACAUUGGGACUGAGACACGGCCCAGACUCCUACGGGAGGCAGCAGUGGGGGAUAUUGCACAAUGGGGGAAACCCUGAUGCAGCGACGCCGCGUGAGGGAAGACGGCCUUCGGGUUGUAAACCUCUGUCUUCGGGGACGAAUAAAUGACGGUACCCGAGGAGGAAGCCACGGCUAACUACGUGCCAGCAGCCGCGGUAAUACGUAGGUGGCAAGCGUUGUCCGGAAUUACUGGGUGUAAAGGGAGCGUAGGCGGGGAGGCAAGUUGAAUGUCUAAACUAUCGGCUCAACUGAUAGUCGCGUUCAAAACUGCCACUCUUGAGUGCAGUAGAGGUAGGCGGAAUUCCUAGUGUAGCGGUGAAAUGCGUAGAUAUUAGGAGGAACACCAGUGGCGAAGGCGGCCUACUGGGCUGUAACUGACGCUGAGGCUCGAAAGCGUGGGUAGCAAACAGGAUUAGAUACCCUGGUAGUCCACGCCGUAAACGAUGAUUACUAGGUGUGGGGGGACUGACCCCUUCCGUGCCGGAGUUAACACAAUAAGUAAUCCACCUGGGGAGUACGGCCGCAAGGCUGAAACUCAAAGGAAUUGACGGGGGCCCGCACAAGCAGUGGA
rnacentral:rRNA from 1 species